GCAAACUUGGUCAUUUAGAGGAAGUAAAAGUCGUAACAAGGUUUCCGUAGGUGAACCUGCGGAAGGAUCAUUAUCGAAUUUUGGAGCCUCAGUGCUGCCGUUUACUCGGACUUUGUGCACGUUGCUCAUUAAUCCCUUUUAAACCCCCCCUUGUGCACACAUUUGUGGGACUUGUUAAAAGAGUCCCUCAUAUAUACAAAAAAACACCAUUUGUCUAUUGAAUGAUCAUUGGCCGAAAGGCUCUUAAAAAUAAACAACUUUUAACAACGGAUCUCUUGGCUCUCGCAUCGAUGAAGAACGCAGC
rnacentral:misc_RNA from 1 species